rnacentral:rRNA from 1 species
CACGAGGGUCUCACUGUCUUAAGGAAAUUUCCAGUGAAAUUGAAUUUGUAGUGAAGAUGCUACAUCCAAAUUGUUAGACAAGAAGUCCCCAUGGAACUUUACUGGAAACUUAUGUGGCUUAAAUUAAUUUAUUUCUUACAAAUAAAUAGUUUUUAAAUGUGGUGUUAACCUCUCGGAUUAACGAGGGUUAGAAAAGCUCACUCUUUUAUUUUAAGAAAGCCAACUCAAAAAUUUAUGUCUUUGGGAUUUGAUAAGUGGGACAGUUUGGUUGGGGCGACCGCCUUUAAAAAAGUAACGAAGGCGGGCUUAAGAUAACUUUUUAGUUAUGUCUGACUGCCAAGGGGGGAUCCUGAGCAGACACUUACUUUUUAGGUGGGUUUAAGUGACCCGUUAAUUUAGGGUGAAAUAGUUAACGAUAAGCA